rnacentral:rRNA from 1 species
GCCUAGCCCUAAACCUUGGUAAUAUAUCACAUACCCUACCCGCCUGGGAACUACGAGCACCAGCUUAAAACCCAAAGGACUUGGCGGUGCUUUAGACCCCCCUAGAGGAGCCUGUUCUAGAACCGAUAACCCCCGUUCAACCUCACCCUUCCUUGUUUUUCCCGCCUAUAUACCGCCGUCGUCAGCUUACCCUGUGAAGGCCUAAAAGUAAGCACAACUGGCAAAACCCAAAACGUCAGGUCGAGGUGUAGCGCAUGGAGGGGGAAGAAAUGGGCUACAUUCCCUACAAUAGGGAACACGAAUGGCGCACUGAAAUACGCGCCUGAAGGAGGAUUUAGUAGUAAGCGGAAAAUAGCGUGUUCCGCUGAAAUCGGCCCUGAAGCGCGC